CCUGGGCCUCAGGGAGCAGAGUCAGGGCGCCCACCAUGGCCUGGACCCCUCUCCUCCUCGGCCUCCUGGCUCACUGCACAGCCUCUGUGGCCUCCUAUGAGCUGACGCAGCCGCCCUCGGUGUCGGUGAGCCCGGGACAGACGGCCAGGCUCACAUGUGGGGGAAACAGCAUUGGAAUUAAAAGUGUCCACUGGUACCAGCAGAAGCCCGGCCAGGCCCCCGUGCUGGUCAUCUAUGAUGAUAUCGGCCGGCCCUCGGGAAUCCCUGACCGAUUCUCUGGCUCCAGCUCAGAUGACACAGUCACCCUGACCAUCAGCGGGGCCCAGGCCCAGGACGAGGCAGACUAUUACUGUUCAGCGUGGGAUGACAGUAGUAAUGCUCACAGUGACACAGGCGGAUGGGGAAGUGGGACAGAAACCUCCCUGUGUCACCCUCUCCUCCAGCCCCGAGGGCUGCAGACCAAGCCCUGAGCACGGCUGCCCGUCUGUGUCGAGCGAGAGCAGGGGCAGCUUCGGGCGCCUGUGGACGAUCCCACAUGGAGCCCUGUCAGCCAUGGGUCAUGUCCGGGAGCAGGAGGCCCAUGAGGAGUGUGGGUGCAUCGGGACGGCCCCCGGGAGGGGCCUGGACACCGUGAGCGGGAACGUCUGUAACAGCAGCCACAUCAGCUCCACAGUGACCCCUCCAUGUUCAAUAGAAGCACAGUUUACAGGAACCUGGGCUCCCAGACACAU